UGCAGUCGAGGGGCAGCAUGCGGAUUGCUUGCAAUCCGCGAUGGCGACCGGCGCACGGGUGAGUAACGCGUAUCCAACCUUCCCUACACUUCGGUAUAACCCGGCGAAAGUCGGACUAAUUCCGAAUGGUCUCCUUUGACGGCAUCAGAAGCGGAGUAAAGAUUUAUCGGUGUAGGAUGGGGAUGCGUCCGAUUAGCUGGUUGGUGUGGUAACGGCUCACCAAGGCUACGAUCGGUAGGGGUUCUGAGAGGAAGGUCCCCCACACUGGAACUGAGACACGGUCCAGACUCCUACGGGAGGCAGCAGUGAGGAAUAUUGGUCAAUGGGCGGAAGCCUGAACCAGCCAAGUAGCGUGCAGGAUGACGGCCCUAUGGGUUGUAAACUGCUUUUAUGCGGGAAUAAUGUCGGACACGCGUGUCUGCUUGCAUGUACCGCAUGAAUAAGGACCGGCUAAUUCCGUGCCAGCAGCCGCGGUAAUACGGAAGGUUCGGGCGUUAUCCGGAUUUAUUGGGUUUAAAGGGAGCGUAGGCCGCUGUUCAAGCGUGUCGUGAAAUGCGGUUGCUCAACGAUCGCACUGCGGCGCGAACUGUCCGGCUUGAGUCAAGUGAAAGUAGGCGGAAUUCGUGGUGUAGCGGUGAAAUGCUUAGAUAUCACGAGGAACUCCGAUUGCGAAGGCAGCUUACUGUAGUUGUACUGACGCUGAAGCUCGAAGGUGCGGGUAUCGA
rnacentral:rRNA from 1 species